GUUCCGCCUGAAAAUCUUUUAUUUGUAUUUACCAGCAAGAUUUGAUUUGAUUUUAUUUUUUCGUUCCUACCAAAAAUCUUAUAUUUGUAUUUCACGCUCAAAACUUUUUUACCGGAAUCCUCGGGUUAUAUCUUUACGUAUAAGGUCCAGUCCGUUUGGUAUCACCUGAGCGUUUGACAUGAACACUUGCAUUUGAAGUUUCAAAGCAUUUGUUUGAAAUCGUUCCGGGGUGACCUUAUCCUUUAUUUUGUAUGUGUUUUUUUAUAUUGUGCAUUUUUUUAUAUUUUUGAGGAUGAGCGAGUCAGGUGAGUGGGUGUGUUCGUAUGCUUUAUUACAUUGUACUUAUUGUUUUGGGGAAGGUUAACUUUCUGGUAGUAAGACCCGUCACGGCCAGGCUGGGAAACUGGAUAGGCAAAUGCUCACAUUAAAUCUGUAUCGAUACAGUGUGUUAAAUGUCUUCCUUUUUACACCAUAACCCAUGGUGGUGCUCCUACUAAAGGAGGGAUAUACGGAACAUACAUACAAUCGAUGUUGAACGCUUUCUGAAAUCAUGAUAUGAAGUACGUUACUCUGUACCUUUAAACUUAAAGAGCAGGGUUCAUUUACAAAAAAGUUCGUUUGAUACAAAAGUAUUUACGUGUGUACAAACUAAUUUGUAAACGGACGUUGUAUUCUAUGUAGGGAUGGCCUUUUGUGAUCCGCAUAUCAGAAUGAUUAUGUUAACGAUGCCGCUAAAUUAUUUAUAUCUGACAUGAACCAAAAGUGAUAAAAUCCUGUAAAGUGGAGAAUAUCUGGCAGUAAAAUAGCCAAGUUUUCCAUACAGAUCAUUUAUAAAUGUGAUGCAAAAUACGUGACAAUUGAGUUUUAAGUCUUAUAGCAUUUUUAUUGGAAAAAAAGGCACACACGAAAUUUGUAACACUCUAGGGACUUUUUCUACUAGUAACAUAUGUCUGCCCGGACAUUAUCUUACCAGUACAAAGUUAUCUCUUAUAUAUUUUUUUUUCAAAACUAAUAGUCCCAGCGGAAAGCUUAUUUGCAAAAACAAAACGGAC
rnacentral:lncRNA from 1 species